CUUGCAUCAUUGUAAAAAUGAUGCAGGAUCGACUAUGUCGAAUAAAAUUCUAGGUAGAAUUAUGAUAAUGACAUUGUCUGCCUAUGUGUCUUGACCAAAUUACGUGCCAGCAGUCGCGGUAAUACGUAGAAGACUAGUGUUAUUCAUGUUUAAUCGGUUUAAAGGGUACCUAGACGGUAAAUCAAGCCUAAAAUUAAAUGAAGGGACUAAUUUACUAGAGUUACUUAUGAGGGGGUAUUAAAGUACUGCUGGUGUAGAGAUGAAAUUCUGUCAUACCUCUUUUCAAUAGAAAAACAAUGGCACAGGUAUAGGCGAAAGCAUCCCCUUAUGUGAUAACUGACGUUGAGGGACGAAGGCUUUGUGUAGCGAACAGGAUUAGAUACCCCAGUAGUCAAAGCAGAAAAUGAUGAAUGUCAUAGAUUAGAUAAAUAAGUUUAUUCUAUAAAUGAAAGUGUAAGCAUUCCACCUCAAGAGUAAUUUGGCAACAUUGGAACUGAAAUCAUUAGACCGUUUCUGAAACCAGUAGUGAAGUAUGUUGUUUAAUUUGAUGAUCCGCAAAAAACCUUACCACAAUUUGAAUAUUUAUAUUUUUUUAUUGUUUUCUUUUUAAUUUUCUUCUGAUUUGAUUUUUCUAAAGAAAAAAAGAAAAAGAGGCGAUAUGAUAUAUUUACAAGCGUNGCACGGCUGUCUUCAGUUAAUGUCGCGAGACUUUGGUUAGUUCCAUUAAAUUAACGUAAACCCUUACUUUAUUUUUAUAUAGAGUAGUUCCCCGCUAUAUUGGAUAUG
rnacentral:rRNA from 1 species